rnacentral:rRNA from 1 species
UACGGGGGGGCGAGCGUUGUCCGGAAUUAUUGGGCGUAAAGAGCUUGUAGGCGGUUUGUCGCGUCUGCUGUGAAAUUUCGGGGCUCAACCCCGAACUUGCAGUGGGUACGGGCAGACUAGAGUGUGGUAGGGGAGACUGGAAUUCCUGGUGUAGCGGUGAAAUGCGCAGAUAUCAGGAGGAACACCGAUGGCGAAGGCAGGUCUCUGGGCCACUACUGACGCUGAGAAGCGAAAGCAUGGGGAGCGAACAGG